rnacentral:rRNA from 1 species
CCCUUAGAUGUUCUGGGCCGCACGCGCGCUACACUGUUCGACGCAGCGAGUCUUAACCUUGACCGAAAGGUUUGGGUAAUCUUCAGCAAAGUCGAACGUGAUGGGGAUCGAUCAUUGCAAUUAUUGAUCGUGAACGAGGAAUUCCUAGUAAGUGCAAGUCAUCAGCUUGCGCUGAUUACGUCCCUGCCCUUUGUACACACCGCCCGUCGCUACUACCGAUUGAAUGGUUUAGUGAGAUCUCUGGAUUGACGCUGGGUAGGGGGCGACCCUUGGCCAGACUGUUGAGAAACUGCUCAAACUUGAUCAUUUAGAGGAAGUAAAAGUCGUAACA